rnacentral:tRNA from 1 species
GGGCCAGUAGCUCAGCGGUUAGAGCACUCGACUUAUAAUCGAGCGGUCGAUGGUUCGAGUCCAUCCUGGCCCA